rnacentral:tRNA from 1 species
ACCGUUGUAGCUCAGCGGCAGAGCACCCGCCUGAUAAGCGGCUUGAAGUUCUUCUCUGAUACGCGCGCUAGGCAGGGAUAGAAUUUAAGCGUAGGGGGUCGGAGGUUUGAGUCCUCCCAACGGUA